rnacentral:rRNA from 1 species
AGCGUAGGUGGCUGGAUAAGUUGCAAGUGUAAUACCGGGGCUUAACUCCGGUGCUGCUUGCAAAACUGUCCGGCUUGGAGUGCAGGAGGGGUAAGCGGAAUUCCUAGUGUAGCGGUGGAAUGCGUAGAUAUUAGGAGGAACACCAGCGGCGAAGGCGGCUUACUGGACUGCAACUGACACUGACAGCUCGAAAGCGUGGGGAGCAAACAGGAUUAGAUACCCUGGUAGUCCACGCCAUAAACGAUGAAUACUAGAUAUGGGAGGUAUCAACUCCUUCCGUGUCGCAGCAAACGCAAUAAGUAUUCCGCCUGGGGAGUACGGCCGCAAGGUUGAA